GCCUGGGUGGCUCAGUCGGUUAAGCGUCUGACUUCGGCUCAGGUCAUGAUCUCACAGUCCGUGAGUUCGAGCCCCGCGUCGGGCU
rnacentral:tRNA from 1 species